GGUGGCUCAGUGGUAGAGUGCUUGUCUUGCAUGCAUGAGACCCUGGGUUCAAUUCCUCAGCACCA
rnacentral:tRNA from 1 species